ensembl:lncRNA
GGAAAAGUUUCAGUGCAUUCCGUUGAUGUCGACGGCGUGAAAACGGAAACAAGUAUGCUGGCUCACUGUGCUGCAUACAGUUACACACUGCGUCGUAUGAUUGAGACAAGGAAACUUGGAAUGACUUUUCAUAGGUUUCCCAGAGACUAUGGGUUGAGGAGGAAGUGGAAGUUUGUCGGCUUAGACCUGGUGUCAUUCCAUCAGUGUUAAACUUCCCGGCUCAUCUUGGAAGAGUACGUGCCAGAAAGACCACGACCAAGCAGCCUUGAGAUCUUAGGCAGCGUCUCCCUCAGGUCCCUCUCUAUCUCCCCACACAUCCACCAACCACUGGAACACAUCUCCAAAGUUCUGCCAGGCCAGCUCAGCUUCCCCUCAGAAGAAGUGCCGCCACCUGCCAGAUGAAGGAGCCUUUUGGGAGGCAGCUGGCAUCGUGAUUGGACUGUACUUUGGUCUGUUCCAAUCCAGCUUCAGCUCCAGAGACGGCAGGUGGGACGAGUCAACGGAGGCCUGGUGGACGAAGGCUGCAGCUGAGUACAAUCUAGAAAACAAAAGAGGAGGAGUGCAGCGGCCCAGAGCCAGAACAAACAGAUUAGCAUCGUAUGUCUCUUAGAAAACAUCAUAGUAUAGCCUUUGGUAUGAAAAAACACCAUUAUAUACAUCGUAUAUUGUACAAAUAACAAGUCAAAGCAAAGAGACAUACAUUGUAGAAUUGUAGUAAUUGUGGGCUGACUGGCCUUGGCAAUGGUCGUCGGAAUGUGAAUAACACUGACCACACCUCACAGAGGUUAUAAACUGAGGCAACAUCAACCACCACCAGAACUGAAGAAGCCUCUUGGAUGAGAGGUGAAACGUCUUCAAG